AUUUAUUUCACUGCCACCUUCCUAGCUUCAAAGAGAAAGCUGCUCUGAUUUAUAUAUAAGCACACUCUUCUUAUCUCGCCCUUUCUUGAAGAAAAAAAGAGGGCCUGAACUCUGAAUCCAUUUGGGUUUUUGUGAUUCUAGGGAGGUGUGUUAGUCAGUGUAGUUGUCAGCAGAUUUAACGCCACACUCUUAACUGAACUUGUUCCAUUAAAGAAGACGACCCAUCAUUUUCUUUCAAAUAUAUAUCCACUAUUCUUUCCAGAAAAUUCAUAUACAGUUCACAGAAUUUCUUAUUUCUUACGUUCGUUUUGCGUUUGGAAUCUUGAUUUCUGGAAAAAAAAAAAGAUGGGUGAGAACGAUGCCGCAAAGAUCCAUUUUCCUCCCCAAGCUUUCAGUGUUUCUGUGGACAUGCCUUCUCAAGGUGGCUCCAAGUGGUUUGAUGAUGAUGGUCGCUUCAAGCGCACUGGAACUGUUUGGACUGCGAGCGCUCACAUUAUAACAGCUGUGAUUGGGUCU
rnacentral:misc_RNA from 1 species